rnacentral:lncRNA from 1 species
UUUGAAGUUGUGGCGUAAGAACGGAUCACUACUUAAAAAGAGAAUCACUUGUUCGGAAUAACAAUCAACACUUGCAACUUUUUUUUUAAAUUCGAAAUUAUUUUUUUAUUUUUUAUACGAAUUUUUUUAUGAUUUUUUAAUAUAUAUUCUUUCUCUUUUUUUUUAAAUCGAUUUUUUUGAAUUUUUUUCGAACGACGAUAACG